AGUUGUUUAGCUUAUGAAAAGUUUAUAUUUUGAAAAUAUAAGAAAGAGUUUACUUUAAUGGCUU
rnacentral:tRNA from 1 species